rnacentral:lncRNA from 1 species
UUCACGUAUAAUAUUUUAAAAGCUUAUCGAUCUGUCUAUUUAUUACAAUCACCAGGAAUAGAGGGAGAAACAAAUCAAAAUUUACAUAAAAGAAGUUUGAUUGAGAGGUCAAGCUGGUAGAUAUAAUACAUAACAAACUAUACCCAAUCGGCUGCCUUCAGAGCCCAGUUCUGAUCUAUGCAUAGCCAGAACAAAUCAAUAGAUUAAUGAUCCAAUGUUUUUUUUUUUUUUGUCCCCAACCUUGUAAUCUAAAUUUGUAACUUUACAUGUGUGAAAAUUUAGUAUUCAUUAAAAAAAAAAACAAUGAGAAGACUUUGUUGAGCAAGUGUGUAACAGCAAAUAGACUGCUUUUAACUGAAUGGUAUCGUGCCCCGGUGUGUGUCGACUUCUAUGCUUCAGACAGCAGUCAAAGUACAGAGCACGGCGAAAUCUGAUACAACAACCACAAAGUCUUACUUGCGACUCACUGAUUUGAUUUUCAAGUUUCAACUAUAUAUAUAGCAAGAAAAAGAGACAGAGAGAGAAAGGCUUACAAGUUCAUAUUUUGCUGGAUUUGGUCCAGAAGAAGCCUUUCUUUUUCACAGGAAGAUUUUCUUUAGGGGAUUUAUAGUUACUUCUGGACCCGAAAGAGAAGUGUCGAGCCAAGAAAGGCUUUGCUGAAUAGCUUUUAGCACUCGAACUUGAGACGAGUCUAGGGCUCUUGCUUGCUGCUGCUGCUGUCCUGUGGCUGUGGUCAAACAUUACAAAAUCAUCGCAAUCAAAGUCACUGUCCAAAACUCGGUUUCUGAGUCUUUUGUUGUGUCUCGCUUUCAAAUCCAUCUCUACUUUCAACGCUUUCUCUGACAGCUUCGCUGUUUUCUUCUCACCCAUUGUACAUAUUGGGCAUGAAGGGUCGAAUUUAUCAAUUUCCGGCGUCAUCUGCUCUAAACACUCCCCAUGAUAGACAUGCCCACAAGCUAGAAUUGCAGAUACAGAGAGCUCGUUGGUCAUAAAGAUCUUUUGGCUGCUCCACAAGGAUUUCUCCGACAAGGGUCUAGAGCAAGCACCGCAGGUAUGCUGCUGAUGCUUGGACAUCCGGUUGCCAUGAUGGUCAAUCUUGUCACGUUGAAGCCCAAAACAAUCAUUGUCAUAAUUGUCAUAAGACAGAGCCUUGUUGCUGCGAGAAGAUGACAUCAUUUCAGAAAAGGCUUGUAGAGACCAACCUUCAGAUGGUCCAGACUGAGACGAAUCAUAUCUCGUAGGAGUUCCCUGCCUCUCUUCAGUUGCUGAGCUUCUACUUAGUGAGUUCUGACCAUAGAUUUGACCAUCUGAGACUUGCUUUGAUAGACGAGGGUGCUGUGUCAGUUUAAGUGUAGAUGAACUUGCAGGGUGCAAGUAGCUUUGGGACGAAAGUGGUGACGUAGGGAAAGAUGAUGGUUGUGAAGCUAGUGAAAGAGACAACUGUGCAGGAGAUAGAUAUGAUGGUGCUGCAGACUCUGUUGAAACAUUUUCUUUCUGUAAGAUACAUAAAAGAUGCGAAAGAGACGUUAGGCAUCGACAAUAUGAGAGAACUCAGCUACUGAUGAAACAAGCAUUACCUGUUCGAAGACUGUAUUCAUGGAAGAAUUUCUUGGAAAAGAUAGAUCUGCCACAAUAGAAUUUGAUCAAGACAGGUGAAGAAGCAAGCCAAGAAUCAGAAGACAACUCUUAUCAUUAAACAUAACCACGUCUUUUUGCUAAUCAUGACUCUAGAGGGGCAUUAACAGGUUCUGUGAAAAAAAAAAAUCUAAAGUCCCAAGUGAGUAACACCAAGUAGCAUGUGCUUCCCUCAAGUUUACAAGUUCCACUAAAAAAGCUGAGCCAGUGAAGAAAACGAUUUUUAAUGUUAACUAUUUCCUAACAAGCUGAAAUAAUAUACCUGAGGCAGGAGAUUUUUGCAAUGUCUGUGUCCGAAAACUGUCCAAAGGGGACCCUUCAGAUGAUACGAAAGCAGAUUCAAAUUUGAUCUCAGAGCCAUCGUUCCGACUAAUACCAUCAGAUAACCAACUGAGAGAAGUUUCUUCACCAGCUACACGCCCUCUAUUAUCCCACCGGAAACUCCAAGACGGAGAAUGCCUGAUAUUGCUCCUCUGCAAAUUCUCACCAGCUGAUGAAUUAGGCACCACCAUUUUGUCUCGAGCAGCAACACAACACGCAUUCCCCAUAACUAGCACCUACUAAGCACUAUGCAAAGACAGUGCUUAUAAAUUAUUUGACGAGAGACACUUCAGUAGAACACAGGCACAACAAUCCCUUUCUAGCUACAAAAUUAACAAGCAAAAAAAAAACACAAAAUCAAUUUAAGAAAUGAAGAUACAGGAAUUCAAUCAGCAUCAUCAAUAGCUGAGAAACCAGAAAUUCAAUAAGACAAUCAAAUCAUCAUAGAGUCAGGAGAUCCCCAAUCAAAGACUCAGGUUGCAACACUUGCAAGCAAAAAUUAGUAGAGCCCCCAUGUUACUACUAAUCAUGGAUCAAAUAAGGAAAUAUAGAAAAGGAAUCAUAUCGAUCUAUAUACUGCUGCUCACUGGAACUGCCAUGACUCUCUUCACUAAGAGAAUCCGUAAUUAAGAAAAAAAAAUCAGGAAAUCAAAGAAGUAGUAAUUGAAGUAACAAUUAGCAUCAAACAGAUCCGAGAUUAAGGCCGGAGAAUCUGCAAAACAUGUUGAGAUGACCCAAAAUAGAUACAAAACCCCUAAAAUCAAAUCAAUACCCGAAGAAUAAAAUUCCGAAAGAGACAAAAGGAUAACAAAACAAAAAGCAAAAUACUAGAUGCUAAGAGAGUCACGAACAUCGAACCUGCUCCCAGAACUUCCAAAACGUCGCCGGAGAAGAGGAAGAUGAUAGUUUCACAGAGAGAGAGCGAUGGAUGGGUCUGUUAGAGUGAGAAAGGGAGAAAAAUGAAACGAGAGCACUGCUUUGUUCCUUCCUCCUUUAGAGAGAGAGAGAGAGAGCGAAGAGAGGGAAAGAGACGAAUACAAGUCUUUUCUGACGGUUUACUUCACGCCGUCAGGUUCCGGUAGGUGUGUGUACUGUGACUGUCUGUUGUGAUCAGAGCUCUAAAACCGUACCAAAUAACAAAAUCAAAUCAAACCGAAUUGAACAGAUACUGGUUAUUUCGAUUUUUUUAUAUAGAUUUUCAUCAAUCAUGCAAAGUGAAAUAGUCAUAUACAUAGAUAAUAACUUCUCAAAUUCAUCAAUCAUGCAAAGUAAACCCACUACGUCCGGGUUUAUGUAUUACUAUUUACAAAUUGUUUUAUAUAAUGUCUGUUCAUAUAAAAUAAAGUUGAAUUCAUCGGUUUUGAAACAUAAAUAUGAUUUGUAAUUGUUUUUGAAAAGUCCAACUAUAUUAGUUCAUCUGAAAAAUGAAUGUGUUUGAGUUAUUUUUUAUUGUUGUUCUAGAUUCUCAGUUUUUUUUUUUAAUUUAUAUAUUCUUAUCUUUUUGUUUUAUUUUAAAUUGUGAGACGGUAAAAUUUUAGAAAAUUUAUUUCUUACACUAAAAAUAUAACAUGUCUUUAUUAACCAUGUUUCUGCAUAUUCAAUCUAAUCAUAUUCAACUUGAUGUUCUUAGAAAGUUUAGUUAAGUUCUUAUCAUAAUCUUAUAUCUUAAGUAUUAGUUAUAAGGAUAGCUCCUCAAACAUCUUUCAAAUUACUUGUUUUCUUAACAUAAAUCUCGAAAAGCUUAGAUAUAUUUAAUCUGCAUAUUCAUUUAGUUUCUUUCAUAAUAAUCGUCUAAUUUUUAGGCAAAAAAUAUGUGUAACAUGUUUGGAUUUUAUGAUCACUUUAGCUACUUAAGUGGAUCUCAAAAUUAAAGAGGAUACAUUGAAUUAAAAAAAUGUAGAAUGAGUGAUGGUUCAAGUUCUGAUUAAUUAUAUCCUCCUGUUUUAGUUGUUAUGUUGAAUUAAUUACUAAUUAUGUAUUCUUAUCUUAUGAAGUUUAGGUGACAAGCUUUCAUGUGCUAAUGUGUCAAGGGAAAGAAUUAGCCUAUAUGAAAGAUUUAAAAGAAAAUCAAAGAACAGUUUUGCCAUGAUCGAACCAAGAUAAGCCGGUUUGUGUAAAAUAACCCAAGAUAAGCCGGUUUAGAUGUGACGCCGUUAGAGUUAGCGGAGUUAUAGUGACUUUACGGUGAGUAGUGCCACGUCACGUUAAAGGACAAAAAGAGAGGGAGAACGAAUAAUUAACCGGCAACUUUCCGCAGUGACGUCGUUAGAUGGGGCCGUUUAGAAAUUAAAAAAUUAGAUUCCAGUUUUAUAAAUUAACAAUAAUAGAGGGACCAAUUUAUAAAAUCCCCCGUCCCUGUCUAUUACUAUAUCUUACCGGAUACGCAACCUGGAGCUUUGUGAAGCCAACACGGAAGAAAAAGAUCCAACGAAAACGAAGAAGGGAAUAUAAAGACGAAACCAUCACUUCCCAUAACAAUAUUUAUUUAGUGUUGAAUAUAAAUACGAAUAAAACAAUAUUAAUCGUUACAAUACAUUCAAGAAUUCUCACAAAACCUGAUUGUUCUGUUUCGAACCGAUAGAUUCGAACCUUGGUUUAAGUUGCCGGCUUCGAGGAAUCUCCGGUGUGGACUUUCACUCCUGUUUCUUCUUCAUGACGCAAGCUGUUUUCUCUAGAAUACGCUUUCUUAGAACCCUGUAAAAUGUUUAGCUGAGUUUCAGUAUGUUAUGUUAGAGAGCCAAGACUUUAUUUUUGUAAUAUGACUCACCUGGAAAACGUUACCCAGCUUCCUCAAUCCUCUAGCUCUAGCUCGAAGAACAUCCUUUGAAACACUUGGAUCUUUAAGCACCUGAGAACAAACAAAAGAGAUGACAAGAUCGUUACUAUUACAGUGAGAUUAUAGUGGAUGUAAUAAACUAAUAAUAUAGGAUCAUUAAUGUCUGACACAAAUCAUGGUGUAUCUUACCGCUUGGCAGACACGAGAUAAGGUUGAUUCGAUGUCAACAACAUUUAUUUGCCAAAGGGAUUGAAGCAUUGCAUCCUUUUUAGCUUCAAUGGCUUUCUGAAUAUUCUCUUCUUUGUUCUCUCCCUGAUUCAGCUUGCUCACUUCAUCCUGCAACAGAAGUAAGUUGACCGCACCUACGCGAAAAGAAAAAAAAAGAUUUCCGUUUGAUCCUCCGUUGUUGGAAAUCAAAAGCAGACCCCAAAUUCAACUUAAACAUUGUUUUUUCUUUAGCUUUUACCAGAAGCAGCCAUCACUUGAGAUUUUACUUGGUGGCCUUUGUCACGAACCCAUUCGGCUAAAAACGGUACUUUCAUGAAACGUUUAUCCUUUCCGAGUUCUUUAGCAGCUUUUCUAGUGUAAAUGUAACCAACUGUGUGAAGCAUUGCCUCACCAAAACCUGACAGUAACACGGAUACAACCAAAAGUCAGUUUAUUUGGUUUGUCAGGUUACCAAAGUUUGUGCCUUUCAUUUACUUGAGGAGAAAAAAGGCAAACUUGAUACAGCAACUGAGAAAGAAUUGAAUACCAGCUGUUGAAAGCCGUUUUGCCUCUGCGGUGGCCCAAUUUACAAAUUCAUCGGUUUGUCCUUCCACGAAUGGUUCAAGUUUGAUUUUCAGUGUAGUGACGAGCUUGUCUACUCUGUCCUUUUGUAUCGCCUGCAAAAAAAAUCCCAAGAAAACAUAGAGAAAUAUAAACAUUAAGGCAUAAGAAAACAGUAAACAGAGAGGGAAAACAACCUACUUUGAUCUUUUCCUGAAGCAUCUGUUUUCUAAUCUCAGGCUCAUACGAUUCUAAUUCAGCAUCGAUUGAGGCUGCUGAAGCAAGGGCAAGUUGCCCAACGUAAUCCUCAAAGAGCUCGCUACCAAAGAGCAUACCAAACACAGCUGCAGGAUCAACCAUUGCAUCCCUGCAAGAAAAUGGAAGUGAAAUUAACAUACUAUAGCAAUUAUACCAAUCACAUUCUCAAAUGACAUAUAAACAUCACAGAAGUUAUCUCUAGGCUUUUUAUGUGGGGAAAACCGAAAAUCUUCAAAUGUAGAAUGAAUCAUGAGGAAUGAAAGUGUGAAAACUUACUGUUGAACCCCUUCUUUUCCAUAUUUGUCAUAAGCUGUACGCUUCUCCGGAUCGCCUAGAACUUGAUAAGCUUCACCUAGUAUCUUCAUUCACACAACACCAAUUUAUAGGUUAGAGUGAUCCAGAAUAUCAUCCAAUCAAACACUCCUUGAAAACCCUUGUGAAAGUCGUUAAGCAAACUAAUAAACAUAGCAAUAGAGAUGAUUCUAUAUUUUAAGGUGAAAGGAAAAAAUCACCUGAAAGUUUUUAGCAGCUUGAGGAUCACCAGGGUUCUUGUCUGGAUGAACUUGCCUUGCCUGCAGAAAAAAUGAGAGCCCUAAAAUGAUCAACCAAAAUUGAUCUUACAAUCAAAACCUAAAAAGCUACCAAAUUUGGAAACACAACAAGUUUCUUAUCAAUCCAUUAUCUGAUUCUUAGCAUCAUAAUCAAAUCUACGAAUUUAAAAGCUUAUGCUUGGAGUCUGACAAUCUACCUGAAACUCAUAGAGAUGGAAAUCUGACGAUAAAACAUAAAGACUUACUUGAACAUAAUAAGCUUUCUUAAUCUCAGCACCAGAGGCGUCAAUCUUGACGCCUAAUAUGUCGUAGUACUCACUCUCCUUCACCAUAGCUCAACUCUACAAAUAGACGCAAAAAAAAUGUUAGACCCCUCGAGCUCCCUAAUAAAAACCAUUAAUACAGGAAUAAAAAAAACAAACCUUGAGGAAAUGCGAAACAAACGAAAUCAGAGGAGACAGAAGGGAAAUGGUAAAAGUUGAUUACAGAUCUUAGGAAAUUUUGAGGAAUUAGGAAUUGUAAAUCAAAUUAGAACAACUUUGCAUAUGAAAAAAAAAACAACUCAAAAUCUAAAAUUCAUAAUCUGGAAGCUAUAGAUUCAUACAGAGACUUACUGCUGUUCGCGAAGCACAAAAACUAAGGAUUUCAGAUUUGGUGAGUGGUGGAGAGAAUAAAAUUAUUAAUUUAAACUUGUUGCUUUCCAUUGGAAGAGAGAUUACUGAGUCAGCCACGUUUUACUACGGGUGGAUUUGGGCUUUUAAAUCCAAAAAGUCAUUUAUAAAUUGGGCUCUCUCAUAUAAAGCAUAAUUUCAUUAAGCCCGUUAGGCCCACGAUGGAUGUAAAGCAUUUAAGAGGUUGUGAUGUGGGGUGUGAGAGAAUCGAACCCUAGUGCAAGGUCAAAACCAAACUCGUAGACAAAAUAAUAGACCACUAGCCUGCACGAUCUGCUUCAUUAACUUUGUAAAUUUAUUUUGAUUUAUCAAUGCGAUAAUAGACGCAGAUUUUUUCCGGCCAAUCUUCUCCUCCGAGUAGCUAAACCCUAGCGACGGCGGCAACAAUGGUCUAGAUUCAACGUAUCGUUUCGUGGUUUAUCGGGUAUUUCUAGUUUCCAAUUCUCCUCAUCAAAGUUUCAGUUUUUAAUCACCGUUGAUUUUUCUAUUCAAUGGUACUUGAAUUUUCUCUGGAAUGAUAUUCAAUUGUUCUGUUUUGAUUGCCUGAUUGAUUACAGUAUUCUCCUUUUUUUUUUCUUUUCCUUUUCUGUGAAUUUAUGAGUUUAUGGAUAUACUAAUAUACAUAUAUAUCUUGAGAUCUGCCAUUGGUCUUGUUUUUGGCCUAGUAUAAUGGUUUGACAAAAGCUCCUUCUAUCUUGUAUUGAAGGUGACACUUUGGUGAGAGGGAGAGUAUUUGUGAAAGAAAUCAAUGGAUUUAGAUUUUGAUGAUCAACCCUCGGAUCAUGCUGCACCAGCAGGUAAUUGGGGUUUUCUUUUGUCCACUUUCAUUAGUUUCAUGGCUUUUUGUUUGAUGUGGCUGAAACUUAUGAAUUUGGAUUUAAUAGUUAGGGCUGGUGCAAGGUUUAAACCAAAAGGCAGACCACAACCCAAGAAGAAGCAAGUCUCUCUUUCCACAACCCAAACAACACUCUCCCCUGAUGUUGCCCAGGAAAAACUCUCAACACAAAGUGAAGAUCUCGUCCCUCUAGACGGAUCAUCGGAGAUUCCCAGCAGUUUUGUUUCUUCCCUCAACCAACUUGUUUAUUAUUAUAUGUUGUUCUGAAGUUGGCAGUGUUUUAAGAUGUGGAUUCUUUCUAUUUGCAGAUGCUUUACCUUCUGAGACUAAUGUGCCGGAUAGUGGAAGUAUUAACAAAUCUACCAUUGGAACAUUAUCAGAAGAGGUAAAAGUGUUCUAUGUCUACCUUUUGAAUUGCUUUUUAGUUGUAUGUUACAUGUCUUUGAAAAACGUUUUUGUUUCCUACAGAAUGAAGAUGCAUUCCCAAGAGGGGUUCAUUGGUCUGUGAAACCAUCUAUUCUUCGUGCUUGUAAUAACGUGAAUUUGGUGGGAAAUAGACGUGAUGAUGGCAUAGAGGCGACGACUUCAUUUCCUGAUGAUCCUAGAACACAAGAUUCUGCAAUAUUUGGAGAUUAUGUUACUCCUGAAACCGGGGUAUUGUGAAUUCUAUCUCUAACACCAUGUAUCACUUGUUUUACUGCACAUUUUGAACUGAUUAGUAAGUCUUGAUAUUGUUACAGGCAGACGAGGGUCGUGUGGACAUGGAAACUCUUGAUAUUGUACAGGAGGAAGGCACCACCAGUUCAUAUGGUAAUUUUAAACUCUGAAUGUUGAUAUUUCAUAUGAUUUAGUUCUGUGAAAGGUUGAUAAUGAUAUAGCUGUUUCUGUGUAGUGCAACAUACUGGAAAGUUGCAACCAAAACCUAGAUUACUCGAGACUGUGGUUGAAGAACCUGAGCCUCAUUACUCCGCUGGUGAUACUGGUUAUUUUCCAAUGGGUACGAACGAGUCUGAGUUUAUGGCCAAUGUGGAAUCAAGAAACGGUUUCAGUACUUAUGAAGAUCUUCAAGAAGAAGAACUUAAUAUUCCUGAAGCCCCCAGAGAAACGGUAAGAUUGGCAAAUUGGGUUGCUUUUUUGAGGUCAUCGUUUAAAGUUAGCAAAUUUGUUAAUAGGUUUUGCUUGUAAUUUUUUAAUCAGGUUGGUGAGAUGGAGGCGCAAAAUGCUUCUGGCGGAUGGGAACAAGAAGAACAGGGUGUAUCGCCUUGCAUUAACAAUACAGUUACAGGAGAAGAAGAAAAUUGUAUGGGGAAUACAGUAGAAGAACAGUCUAAAAGAGAAAGCAAAACUGGAAAAUCGAAGCGAGCUACUUCUCGAAAGCGGAAAAAGACAAGUGAAGAACCAAAUAAGUCUAGCGAAAAAACAGAGCAGAAGAAGUUCAAGCAUUCAAGUCGUCGACAAAAAAGAACACGUAACUAACUAACUAAAUAACUGAUAUUGUCAUCUAGACUAUGAUCAACUAUUUUCUGCAUAUUGAUUCAUGUUUAUUCCCUGUCCUAGUGGAGAAGGAAUUGCUUGAAACCCCGGAUCAUGAAAUCAGAUCUCUGCCUCUUAGAGAUAUGCUUCGCCUUGUCGAAUAUAAAGAAUGGAUGCAGGUAAGAACACUAUUCAUCUGACCUCAACAUGUUCUUUGGAAAUUUAGCUGGAUCCUAACUGUUCCUUGAUGUUAAUUAUUAUACAGAAAAAGGAAGCAAAGGGAGCUGGUGUGCAACCUAGCCAAGAAAGGUAUUUUCAUUAGAAAAAAAAUUGAAAGUGCGAGAUGAUAAAAGCAGAUUGUUUUCUUUUUUCGACUUAUGGGAGUGUGUUGUUAUGUGCAGUAAUAAUAUGAACGGAUCAGGGAGCCAGUAUCAUUCUCAAGGUUUUGACGAAGAAGAUGAAUUUGGUGACUUUGGUAUAGAGUCGAGCGAAUAUCAAGAAAAUAAUGUAGUUAAACCGGAUUCACCGGUUAACUAUCAAACCUACAUGAACAAGACUUCAAGAACUCGAUGGUCAAAGGAAGAUACAGAACUCUUCUAUGAGGUAAACUUGACAGCCUCUGAUUCUUAAAAGACGGGUUUUACUGUUUCGGACCAUUGUCACAAGUCUACUUAAGAUAGAAAUGAAACUCUAGGAGACAAUAAAUCACCUUUGUUGGUAAGUAUUUAUAGAUCGGAUUGCCUUUUUUUAUUUUCGUAGGGUAUUCAAGAGUUUGGGAGCAAUCUCUCGAUGAUACAACAGCUGUUUCCUGAGAGAACGCGUGAACAGAUGAAGCUCAAAUUCAAAUUGGAGGAACGCCGAAAUCCAUUGAAGCUUAAUGAUGCAUUAUCAAGUCGCUCAAAACGUGAGAGAAAUCCGUUCACUCUCUCUCGCUCUUUUCUCUGUAUAUAGAAACCUGAAAGUUUUGUUGUUUUUGCAGAUUUUACUCAUUUCAAGAACGUGAUUAAGAAGCUUCAACAAGAAGCCGCGGCUGCAAAAGAAGGCGAAGAAGAAGAAGAAGCUGGAGCAGAAGCAGAGACAACUGAUGUUCCCGAGAAUGUAGAAUCCCCCAACUUUUUGUUUGCGCCAUAAUCUGUUAGUUUUGUUAAAAAGUUAACAAAACAUUAAAACGCUGUCGUUUUUCUAUAUGUAGGAGGAGCCUGAGAAGUCUGAGGAGACGGAGCGAGCCAGUGAUGGAGUAGCAGCUGGAGUUAAGGAAUCGGACGGUGGGGAUGUUGAGAAUGGCGUGAGAUCGGACGGUGGAGAUGAAUGCGACGAUGAUGAAGAUUUUUGGAAUUCUUAUAAGAGUGACAUGUAAACUAUAGUCUUUUUCUUCGUGAUUGAGAUGAAAAUAUACGAUGUUAGUAAUAAAUUUGCUAAUUAUUCACGUUUAAUCGUUUUGAAUAUAAAAUUGCUAAAAACAAUGAUUCAAAUGUAAGUAUUAACUAGGGAAUUGUUUUCUAAUUGGUGAAAAUAAUUGAAAAGGGAAUAAAUAAUUUCCGACAGCAAAUGGCCAAUGACUGUUGACUCAUCGUUUACCGCUCCGUUUUGUCGGCGAAAUUCUCAUCGAUCUUUUUUUUAAUUCCUUUUUAACUUUUUCUCUGAUUCUGACGUUACACAGAGCCAACCUAUACCUAUCUUAGAUCCGUUAAAUUUUAACCUACGGUCGUUAGCGACCGUCAGAUCUUCGUCGGCUGUUGACAAAAAGCGAAUCUCUUGUAUUAUUACUUUUCACUUCAUACUACUUUUUAUAAAUUUCUAGUUACGUCCCAAUCUCAUGCAUAUUUAUUAAUUUCAGGCCAUUUAUGAGAUUUUAUUACAGAAGUUACCUCGAUUUCUACAUUAAAUGCACAACCACGAUUCCUUGUGCCAAAUCUCUGGUUGUUGUUGACUUGUUGUUGGUGUUUCAAAUUGAUGUUUUGUGCUUAUACAAGUAUCUGCAAAAGGCAUGCAAAAUUAGCUAUGAACACUUUUGUAAUCUUUACGAACAGUAAAACAAGACCAUAACUGAAAUCAGGAAAAACAAUUAUUUAAUCAAAAUUGUUUUAAUUUUGAUUGAUAUUAAAAAGAAUUAAGUUUGGCGAAAUUUGAAGUAAGAGAUCUGAAGGAAUAAUAGUGUGGGGUUCACAAUAGAAAAAGAGUGUAAAUAAUAGGACUGUCAUUAAAUAAGGAGUAAAUAAAAUUUUGUUGGGAAAAUUAGAUACAAAUAUCAGAGGAAAUAAAUCUAAGAAAAAAGAAAGAGUCCAGAGUUUGCUCCACUUUUACCUUUGAAAUUUUGUUUCCUUUUUAAUUUUUGCGAAAUUUCAGGAGUGUUUCUGGUUAAUGUGAGAAAGUAGAUUCGCAAGAAACCAAAAUUAAAAAAGUGAGCGAUUCGUGUUCGAUUGAUUUUGUGGAUGAUCCAUUAUCUUUCUCCAAUAUUUUUGAUUUGAGCGAGAGUUUUGCUUCAUUCGGAAUCUUAAGAUGUCAGGUCCCGUUGAUCGAUUCGCAAUACCAUGUAAGUGUAUCAGAUCUGUUUAUUUUAAUCUCUGGAUCCGUCGGUUUCUGUCAAUGCGAUUUUGCUAGGGUUUUAUUCGAGUAAUGAGAAGCGAAGUUCUAUGCAAUUUCGUUUUUUUUUCCUAGUGGGUACUGCUUAGGGUUGUGCUAUUUACAAGCCUCAAUUUUGAGAAGUUGGGUCGUGAUUUCAGCUGCCAAUAGUUCAGUGGUUGAUGAAAAAUGUUUUCUUUUUUAUAGGUUUUGAGGGAAUAUUGAGCAGUGAUGAGAAAAAGGAAAGAAAGUCUGAUUUUGAGAACUCAGAAGAUGAGAGGAGAACAAGAAUCGGUUCUUUGAAGAAGAAAGCAAUCAAUGCAUCUACCAAGUUCAAGCAUUCUCUCAAGAAAAAGAGAAGAAAAAGUGAUGUCCGGGUCAGUUCUGUCUCCAUUGAGGAUGUUCGUGAUGUUGAGGAGCUUCAAGCGGUUGAUGAGUUUAGACAAGCAUUGGUAAUGGAGGAGUUGCUUCCCCAUAAACACGAUGACUAUCAUAUGAUGUUGAGGUUCUUGAAGGCUAGGAAAUUCGACAUUGAGAAAGCUAAGCACAUGUGGGCUGAUAUGAUCCAGUGGAGGAAGGAAUUUGGUACCGACACUAUUAUUCAGGAUUUUCAGUUUGAAGAGAUUGAUGAAGUUCUGAAAUAUUACCCGCACGGUUAUCACAGUGUAGAUAAAGAAGGCAGGCCUGUGUAUAUUGAAAGGCUUGGGAAAGUUGAUCCUAACAAACUGAUGCAAGUUACUACGCUUGAUCGAUAUAUUAGAUAUCAUGUUAAGGAGUUCGAGAGGAGUUUUAUGCUCAAGUUUCCUGCCUGCACUAUUGCUGCCAAGAAGUAUAUUGAUUCAAGCACAACUAUUUUGGACGUCCAAGGAGUGGGACUGAAGAACUUCACAAAGUCUGCUCGUGAGCUUAUUACAAGGUUGCAGAAGAUUGAUGGAGACAAUUAUCCUGAGACCCUCCACCAAAUGUUUAUCAUCAAUGCAGGGCCCGGAUUCCGUCUGCUUUGGAGCACUGUCAAGAGUUUUCUAGACCCCAAAACGACUUCUAAGAUUCAUGUAUGUUAAUACAUGUUUUUGCUUUUUAUUUGUACCUCUAGUUAAUGGCUUCCCUUAAUUAAACUACUCCUGAGAUUCAUCAUUGACUGUUCAACUUUUUUAAUAUAGGUACUCGGCUGCAAGUAUCAGAGUAAAUUGCUUGAGAUUAUUGAUUCCAGGUAUGUAGCUUGAAUUUCUAAUCCUUUUUUCCCCUCCAGAAUUACUCAAUUCUUCUGUGUUUUGCUUACAUCAGUGAUGUUUCUUUCAUUUGUUUCAGCGAGUUGCCUGAAUUCUUGGGAGGGGCUUGUACCUGCGCAGAUCAGGGGGGUUGUAUGCUUUCUGAUAAAGGGCCUUGGAAGAAUCCAGAGAUUGUAAAGGUUACUUAUUUGUCCUUUACUGAUCUCUUUACACACUCUAGAAUUGAAACAAAUGGUUUACUGUUGUUGCAGAUGGUACUUCAUGGGGGAGCUCACCGUGCGAAGCAGGUGGUGAAAGUUCUGAACAGCGACGGGAAAGUCAUUGCUUAUGCUAAGCCGUCUUAUCCAUGGAUAAAAGGAAGUGACACAUCAACUGCAGAAUCAGGUUCUGAAGCUGAAGAUAUUGUUGUGUCUCCAAAAGCAGUAAAGAGUUAUUCCCAUCUCCGCUUGACCCCUGUUCGUGAAGAGGUAUGAUAUAUUUUCACACUUUGUUUUUAUAGAAUACAUGAUUCGUGGUUUUGAAUCGUCCAAGUGAUUAUUUUGCAGGCAAAGGUUGGUUCUGGUGAAACGAGUUUUGCCGGUAGUUUUGCAGGUUAUGAUGAGUAUGUUCCAAUGGUUGACAAAGCUGUUGACGCCACCUGGAAGGUUAAACCCACCGCCAUCAACCGGGCUCCUUCUAAAGGUAAUAUUUUUAUGCUUUCACUUGUGGCAUCAAACACUGGGAAAAGAAAUUGAAACUUUGGUCUCUUAUGUAUCUUUUCGCAGGAGCUCAUAUGCCUCCAAAUGUCCCAAAGGAUCAUGAAAGCUUCAGUGCUCGUGUCCUAGUAACUUUCAUGGCUUUUGUGAUGGCGAUUCUCACAUUCUUCCGUACAGUAUCAAACCGUGUUGUGACCAAGCAGCUUCCACCGCCUCCUAGCCAACCGCAAAUUGAAGGAAGCGCUGCUGCAGAGGAAGCUGAUCUCCUCAAUUCAGUGCUGAAGAAAUUAACCGAACUUGAGGAGAAAAUUGGAGCGCUCCAGUCAAAGCCAUCUGAGAUGCCUUAUGAGAAAGAGGAACUGCUUAAUGCAGCUGUCUGCCGUGUAGACGCCCUUGAAGCUGAGCUCAUAGCCACUAAGAAGGUAACUGAAUACCAUGUUCAACAAUUGAAACCCACCAAAAUUAGAACCUGAGACGUUUCACGUUCUCUAAAAACUGUUUGUUAUUUGAAGCAGGCUCUUUAUGAAGCUCUGAUGAGACAAGAAGAAUUACUCGCUUACAUUGACCGUCAAGAGGCAGCUCAGCACCAGGUCGGUUUUUUCUUUUAAACCUUUAAACCCGAGAAUCCAAAUUUGUCUUCUUGAAUCUUAUUCAUUUAAAUUCUUUCAAAUGCAAUGAUGGAAUAAACCAUCAAUAUUGUUUUUGUUUCCAGAAGAAGAAUAAGAGGAAGCAAAUGUUCUGUUUCUAGAAGAUGAAGAAGAAGAAUCAAAUGUUUGUUUCUAGAAGAAGAAGAAGAAGAAGAGGCAUCUCUGCUUUCUCUCUCUCCCUUGUAGGUUUCCAUUGAAACAGAACAACUCUCAUCUCAUUUUAUGUUAAAAGCUAAUCAGUUCUUUCUCUUUUAUGAUAAUGAUUAGUUUAUGAUGAUGAUUAUGAUGAUGACGAAUGAGUCUUUUAAGUUUAUAUUAACAAAACAAUUAUACCAAAAAAAACACAGGAGAAAUUGAGAGUCCUUAGAUACAGACAAAACAUGACUUCAUCUUUCUAUCUUCUCCAGUAUCCAUAUUUUAAAAGAUUACAGUAAACUGGAAAUUUUGAUUUAUUUUCCAGGCUUCUUAGCCUCUGAUGCAGUCUUCUAGAAUAAUAAGAACUGAAAAUGCAAGAAAAAAAGUAGAGAUAUUAUUUCGAAUAUAGCAAACUACAAGCAAUAAAGUAAUCAGUAAUCAGUCUUAGGUGUUUUGUUUUAUGUGAAUUUCUAACCUUCCGCUUCUUCUUCUUUUUCUUCUCGAUGAAAGCCAUUAUCUCAUGUUGCCUCGUCAUUGUCUCGUCUAGUGCCUAAGUUUUUGAAAACAGAGCAAUCACAAAACAGAGCAAACAGAGCAAGAGACUAGCGAGAGAGAAGAAAAGCUUUACCUUGUUGGUUUCAGACAACUGAAGCUCGAGCUGGUCAAUACGACGAAGUGCAGCGUCUAGAGUCUUCUCCCUCUCCAUAUAAAACGCAGCCUGAGCUUCCAUGGACUUACAUUUCUCCUCAAGAUCUGUUAUCUUCUUCACCAUCGCAAUAUACUCCUGCUUCGACAUAACAGUCACUCCGUCCUGGUAGACGGCGCUGCCUUCACGGCUAUAAACAUUUGCCUCGGUGAGCCUCCUUGGCAUGUUCUUGGUUAGCCUCAUCACUCCCACUAUCCCCAUUAGCAAUGCCAUGACGCUGCCAUAUAAGUACCCUUUCCUCUCCAACGGAUUCACAGCUGAGUACACAUCUGAAUAUAGAGUUUCACGGAGUAAGAAACUUAUACACAAGCAAGCCCGGUUUGGUUGACGAGAAUACUAACCUUUAAGGUCGGUAGGGUUUUUUUCAGCCUUGUUAAGCUUUGUAGGCCAAUCAGCAGCCGCUGCAGCAUCCACAUUCGUGUCGAUGAACUUCUUCUCCAUCUCCGCAGCAGAUUGCUUGUGAGUCUCUUCUGGUUCGCAUUUCUUCUAAAAGUUCUCAAAAGAUUAGAUUUUACUGAACCAAAUUUCAGAGAAAAACAUUCAAGAUCUUUGCUUCUUACCUUUGUUUCGUUGUUAUACUCAAAGAUUGUCUUUUCCUCGAUCCCUGACAAGCUCCUUCGCAGGCAUCUACCUUCACCGUUCUGAACCAACUGUGUAUAAAUAGUUUACAUAUUAAUCCCAAGUUACAUUGUAAUAUAACGUUUUUGAUCAAGGAUUUCUUAAGGUAGUUAGUUCUAUAGAACUACCUUGAAGAUCUCAGGGUCGUUCCAUGGACCUUUGUCUGAACGCAUACAUCCACCUUUGUCUGCGCAGGUGCACUUACCACCCAAGAACUCAGGCAGUUCACUAAACAAACAAUGCGAAGAGAGAGUUUUGAAUAACAUAUUUGAAGAUAAAGCUACAGUUUCAAGGUCAAGAGUUAUCAAGUUCUUACUUGGCGUCAAUGAUUUCUAGAAGUUUGGUUUGGUAUUUGUUGCCAAGAACCUGCCAUUAAUGAACAUAAAGAGUGGUUUUAAGUGAGGCCAAUAUGAAACAGAGAAAAGUUGGGAUGUCUGAAAUGAGAAGGGAAGCUUUACGUGAAUCUUUGCUGUAGUCUUUGGGUCAAGGAAAGAUUUCACUGUGUUCCAUAAAAGCCUAAACCCACAACCAGCAUUGAUGAUGAACAUACGGUUCAGCGUCUACAACGAAACACAAACACAGAGGUCAUGUUGCUGCGUCAGAACCAUUAUAGAAACUCAAAGAAGAACGUCCAAAAACAUAACUAAACCUCAGGGUAGUUAUCGUUGUCGAUUUUCUGAAUACUCUGAAGAAGAUCUUUUGCAGCUUUGUUGAAGUUACUAAGCCCCUGCAAACACACAGAGAUUGAAUCGUCCUUACAGAGAAUCUAUGAGGGGAAUACAUUUGUAUAGCUUAAUUGAACACAUACCACGCCUUGAACAUCCAAGAUCGUUGUGCUCUGAUCAAUGUGUCGUUUCGCAGCGAUGGAACAAGCAGGGAAUUUGACGUUGAAAGUCUUCUCGAACUCUUUCACAUGGUACUUCACGUACCUAUCAAUUGUGGUCACUUUCAUCAGCUUUGUGGCAUCAACUUGGCCUAGCCUCUCAAUAUAGAUAGGUCUUCCUUCCUUGUCAACACCAUGAUAUCCUUGUGGAUAAUACUUAACCACUUCUUCGAUUUCUUUGAAAUCAAAGUCCUUGAAUAAGAAAGAGAUAGAAACAUUAGAGAGACACAGAGACAAAACAUAGAGUCAAAAAAGUGAGCCUUUGAUGUCACCUCCAUGAUCGUGUCUGCGCCAUAUUCUUUCCUCCAGUUAAGCAUAUCAGACCACAUUUGCUUAGCCUUUUCGAGAUCAAACUUUCUUGCCCUCAAGAACCUGAUAUAUUUCGAUUGAUCAGAGCAAUGGAGAAGAAGAAAAUCAAAAGAUCAAGAGGAAGGACCUAACCUAAGCAUCAUGUGAUGAUCAUCAUGCUUAGAGGGAAGUAGUUCGUCUAAAAUAAGAGCUUGACGGAAAGCAUCAACCGCUUGCAACUCUUCUGUAUCGAUUUCAUCGACGAUUGAGACACACGCCACACGGCUAUGCCUUCGACCUUUCUUGGUCAUUGAGUGCUUAAACUUGUUCGUCGCAUUUAUAGCCUUCUUCUUUAGAGAGCAAAGCUUUGUUAAUCUCUUGUCAUCUUCUGAGAUCUCAACAUCUGCAAGAUUCUUACUUUUAUAUAACGUCUGGCUUUCAUACAAAAAAAAAAGAUUGGCAAUUUUCUCAGCUUACCUAUCUUAUUAUGUCGGUCCAUAUGAGCAACCAUUGUAUCCGCCAUGAUUUAAAGUCCUAUUUAAUCACACAAAGCAACAAAUGAAAACUCUGUUCUUGUUCCUUGUCUGACAAUCAAACAAUAAUAUUAAACAAAACACAAAAGAAACAUUUCAUCGAAGACGUUACAUUCCAACCCCAAACAAAUUACGAGAAACAAUCCUUUAAAGCUUAUGAGAAUUAACAUAAACCAAAACUUUUUGUGACUAGAGACUGAAACCCUAAAGACUCGAGAUUCAAUAAGCGUGAGAUUCAAAGGGUUUAGGUGAGAUAGAAGAAGAGACUUUUAUUCUUUACCUGUGGAUUAAAAAAAUGAACACUAAGGGGAGAAGAAGAAAGAGAGAUCUAUAUAACUUUCUAUCUCACACCCCAAAUUAAGAACGGUUCCAAAUUUACAACGCCUAAAAUCUUAGACAACAAAUCCAGAGAGAGCAUUGACAAGGUUUUACCUUUUCUUGAUUUCUUUCAUACAAUUUAGCGUUUUUCUUUUUGUCUACAUAUUUUUAGCUCUAAUCUUAUAUUGGAGAAACCAUUUUUGUAAAUAAUAAUUGAGGAUUUUUUCUUUCCUUCUAUAUUUCUAUCUAAAUCUGGUCUUAUUAAUAUGCGAAUUGAGUAAAUAAAACAGAUUUAUUGUUACAAUUAUAUAUUUCGAGAACAACAAAAAACUGGUGUCAUAAUGGUUUACAAAAAAAGAAAAUCUAAAAAGUAUAUAUAUUCCCUUCUAUAUAUGGAAAAUAAUAAUAAGUAUAUUCCUAAAUAGUUUGUAGAAACAUAUCAUCAUGGAUACUUUUCUUUUUAUAUUACUCACCAAUCACCAUCAAUAUACUUCCAAAAUUAGUUUUUUUGUGUUGUAAGGUUUUCGAAAAACUAAAGAGCAUUUGUAUUAUGGUGAACAUAUCAUCAUGGAUACUUUUCUUUUAUAUAAUCUGGUGAACAUAAAUUAUCAUGGAGCAUUUGUAUUAGUAACCGAUCAAUAUUCUUCCAAAAUGAUUAUUUGAAGAUCACAACGCAGUAAGUGUUAUAAAACAUCUUAUAAAUUUAGUAUGUUUAUAUAUUUAUAUAUAAAUUUAGUAUACACAUAUAAAUGGUGUUAUCUUUAUAUAAAUUUAGUAUCAAACAAAAUAAAAGAAAAAAAUUAAAAAAACUUUAAAAAUUCUGAAUAAAAAACUUGGUUACUAAAAUCUACAUAAAGAUGAUUUGAAAACAAGUUGAAUGUUUGGAAUCGCUAACAACCGAAGCUGGAUCCAAAAUCCGGUUAGUUUCAUAUAUCUUUUUGUAAAUUUAGUAUCAAACAAAAUAAAAAAUAAAAAAACCAAAAAACUUUUAAAAAUCCGAAUAAAAAACUUUGAUACCAAAUCUAUAUAAGGAUGAUAUGAAAACAAGUUAAAUAUUUGGAUCACUAACGACCGAAGCUGGAUCCAAAAUCCGGUUAGUUUCAUAUAAUUUUUUGUAAAUUUAGUAUCAAACAAAAUAAAAGAAAAAAUCCAAAAAAACUUUUAAAAAUCCGAAUAAAAAAUUUCGAUACCAAAUCUAUAUAAAAAUGAUAUGGAAACAAGUUGAAUAUUUGGAAUCUCUAACGACCGAAUCUGGAUCCAAAAUCCGGUUAGUUUUUAUAUACAUUUUUCUUUAUGUAGAUUUAGUAUCAAAACACAAAAAAAUAAAAAUAAAAAAAUAAACAUAAGAAAAAAUCUUUAUUACAGAAAAAGAAAAUUAGGAAAGCACAAACCUUGGUUCUCGCUGGUGAUCAUGAUUAUGGAUCGAUCGAUGAAACACAAAUUCGUCUGCUUCCUCCGCAGUCGAAUUGUAGUUUUAAAGCCAAAGAAUCUGCCAACUGGUCGUCAAUUUCACUAUCCCUCUCUUGGCCAUCGUCCUUCUCCGUCGUGUAAUCAUAUCCUUCGCCGCCGUUGAAAGAAUCCUUGGGUGAAAGCGUUUCGGUGGCGAGAUCUUUGAUCGUGUGAAAUUAGGGAGUCACGAACUAAAAAGUGAACUCGAUUGAUUGAAGAUUGUUGUCACGAGAGAAGGAAAGCACAUCAGUGAUCAGUCUCGCAGGGAAAUUGCAGGUAAAAAAAGAAAGAAGAAGAAGAAGAAGAAGAAGAAGAAGAAGAUCAAAGAUGGUAUUUUGGUUUUUGAUUUCUCAACGAAGAAGAAGAAACGAGAGUUGGAGUAUUUAUCAGCAAACGCUCCAUUGAAAAAAAAGGAAAUUGUCUCCUUUAUUAUGUUUUGCGAAGAAAAGGAAAUUGAUCAAGGUAACAAAAAGUCAAAUUAAGUUACCGUUACAAGAAUAAAUACGUAGUUUAUUUGAUGUUUAGAAUUUAGAGUGAUUGUUGAAAGAGAUAGAACAUCAAAAGUCAAACCUAGUCAUGUAUUAACAUAAUGCUCGAAACAGAAUGAAAAAUAUGCCACUAGCACAAUCUUACUCAAGCUACAAGCAAAUUCACAGCACAACACACACAUCUCCUCACUACCUUUCCAAGCAAAAAUUACGUAGAACUCGCCACAAGCACAAGCCCCCAUAACCAGUUGCUCUGCUUCCGUUUGUAAUGACAUGGUCAAUGUCAAUGGCUUCUCUAGUCGGCUUACUCUCACUUUCGUGUAUCUCAUAUUUGAAACAGACAAGCUCACCAUUCAAAAGCUUGUUUAGCUGAACAACACUCAAAUGUAUCACCGUCGCUUACUCCAACUCAUAUAGGAACCUACCUACCUAAUACUAGCUUCUCAAUAUCCAAGCAACAAUGCCGGAUGAUGGAGGAAGAAGAAGUGAGAUUGAUGGGAACUGUGUAGAAUCUUAGGCAUUGUCACAAUGGUUCCUUAAAUUCCUCUGUUUUGUGUGUUUGGAUUUGAGCAAGUAACGAAACAGAACAAAAUAUCCAUUGUUCUGAGGGUAUAGUUGUCAUUUGGCACAAUCUACGGUGACGUGGAAUAGUUCAAACCAUAUUCAACCGAAAUAACCAAAUCGAUAAAACCGAAUCAAAUUUUAGUAAAUAGAGAGAUGUCUCUCAUAUAACAUAACUAGAUAAGCCCGCCUAUUUAGGCGGGUCUAAGAUACAAAAAUCAAAUUUUAUCAAUAGAAUUUUGUAUAAUAAUCAAUUUAUUUUUCUUGAUAUUUAAUUUAAUAAUUAUUGGUUUAAACAAACUUUCAAUCUUAUCCAUUCUAUUUUAAUUAUACACACUCAAUCUUAUCAAUGAUAUUUGAAUUUUAAAAAGUAAUCGAUCAUCAUUCUAUAUGUAAUUUAGUAUCUAGAAAAGAAAAAGAAAAAAUUAAUUUAUAUCUUACACAUUCAAUUUUGUAAUACAGUUUAACUAUUUUUGUCAUCAUAAUAAACUCGAUUUAAAUUCUACACACUUCAUAUUGAGUGAUAAUAUUUUCAUAUCAAAAUAAUAUUUAUGACAUAUCAAAUCUAUAUCCUAGUUAGUAUUAAAAAUAAUUAAAAAUUAACAAAACAUAACUAAUAGGCCUAGGCAUAAUACCCCAACCCUAAGAACCGACCCGAACCCGAACCCAAAAUUUUCAAAGACCCGAGCGGUUCUAAACUUCAAAACCCAAAAAACCCGAACCCGAACCCGAAUAGGUAUCCAAACAUAUCUCAAAUAUAAGUAUAUAUUAGUUAUAUUUAUACUUAUAUAUAGAAAAUAUUAGGAUUUUUUUGGAUAUUUUAGUUAUUUUUGUUUAUUUUUAGAUAUAUUCAAGCAAAACUACUCGUGUUGUUUUGGAAAUAUUUUGAAAUUUUCAAGUAAUUUAAUAGAUUUGCACACAAAAUUUGAUAUUUUAAUAUAUAAAUAAACUCGAACCCGAACCCGAACCGAACCUGACCUGAAAUCUUAAAUUACCCAAACGGGUCCUAAACUUCUAAACCCAAACCCAAAAUAGCCGACCCGAACCUGACUCGAAUACCAAAACGGUUAGGGCUAAUAAUUAAUUAAAAACACAGAAAUCCACAAAAAUAUUUAAAACCAAACAUUGUUGAAAAUAUAUUUUUUAUAUAUGCGGUAAUCUCGUAAGUUAAUUUUACAUCAUGCAAAUUAAUAUUAAAUGAGUUAAAAUUAAUAAAUGAAAAUAUUCUCAUUAAAAAUAAUUGAAAAGUUAAAUCCUAUAAGCUAAGCUAUUUUUUUCUCAAAAUGUUCUAUUUUCACUUAUGAUUACAUGAGUGAAAAUUCUUAAAAUAAAACAUAGGUAUAGUAUCACAUCAAAAGAUGCAAGACGCUCCAUCAUACGAUGAGUUAAAAUUCUUAGAAUAAAACAUAAAUAUUCAAAAUUUUAUUCUUAUAAGUUCAUUAAUAUUUUGUGUUUUGAUUUAACGAAUAAAAACAUUGUAUUACAUUGACAAAUAUAAUUUUAUCCAACUAAAAUAAUGAUUAGAAAAUUAUAUUACUAUUUUAAACUUCAAUGGUCUUUUUAAUUAGUAUUAUUAUCCAUACUAAAUUAUAUUUUUAAGAAAAUAAUAUGUGCUACAUUUAAAUGACCAAUAACACAUGUAAAAACAAAUUUGAUAAUUUUCCUUUUGUUGAAUAAAUGUUAAUUGUUUAUAAAUAUAUAGACAUAUAAAUUAGUAUAUGUAAAUUAAUAUGUGCUACAUUUAAAGAAAAUAAUAUGUGCUACAUUUAAAUGACCAAUAACACAUGUAAAAACAAAUUUGAUAAUUUUCGAAUAAAUGUUAAUUGUUUAUAAAUAUAUAGACAUAUAAAUUAGUAUAUGUAAAUUUGUUUACUUUUUAAGAUUUUCUAUUUUUUUAAGAGAAUAAAAAGUUAAAUUUUGAAUGACACAUGUACACAUCUGAUCGUUUGACUUGACACGUGGCAUGAUCCUAUGAGUUAGUAAAUGAAUUAGUAUAUGUAAAUUUGUUUAUUUUUUCAGAUUUUCUAUUUUUUUAAAAGAAUAAAAAAUUAAAUUUUGAAUGACACAUGUAAACAUCUAAUCGUUUGAUUUGACACGUGACAUGAUCCUAUGAAUUAGUAACUUUAAAACCAUACUUUAUAUAAUAAGAUCAUGUAUGGAUCCUUUUCUUUUGCUAUAACUUCCAAUUUUUUUAUUUUUUUUGUAAGGUUUUCGAAAAACUAAAGAUACUAUAUAAUCUGGUGAACAUAAAUUAUCAUGGAGCACUUCCAAAAUGAUUGUUUGAAGUUCACAACGCAAUAAGCCAAUAAGUGUUAUAAAACAUCUUAUAUUAUAUAUUUAUCAAAAAUUAUACAAAGAAAUAAAACAAAAAAAAUAUCUAAGCAAAUAUUUAUGCCAGAUUUCCAGAGGCUUUAAAAGAAGCCUUUUAGUAUAACAAACACUUUAAUAUAUACGUGAAUGCUAUUUGCAUAAACUACUGUCUUUUUCAUUUUUUUUUGCUUAUUCUUUGUAUUUCAUCUAAAUUAUACAAACCUAUUCAUCAGUUUGAUUUCUUCUCUGUCUUGCAAUGAAAGACUCGAUCUUGUAUCGAAGUUCAUCAUCGGAAUCAAAUCUCUCAGCAGAUGCAUCUGUCUCUGAUCUCUUCAAUCUUCCACAAGAACUCUUCUCCAAAACCUUCAGAUUCUCCGACUUGCUUCGUUGGUAACUCUGAAUUUGCCUCUUCUCUGUCAAGUUCUGUUUCUCUAUCGUCAUAGUUAUGUCCUUAUGCUCAACUUCGCUCUGUUUCUCUCUGUUCACAGAAGUGCUCUGUUUUGUCAACUUCUCAGGUUUGCUCUGUUUCACUUUCUUCUCAGAAAUGAUCCGUUUCGUCUUCUUCUCUGUUACGCUUUUUUUUACUCUGCUCUCGGUGAUGCUCUGUUUCUCUUCGUUCUCUUUUGCUUUGUUCUCGGUUAUGCUCUGUUUAGCCUCGUUCUCUGCUUCACUCUGUUUUUCUCCGCUUCUCAUCUCAUCUUGUGAAAAUCCACCUCUCCUUGAGCUCUCCAGAACAAAAUCCUCGUAAAGAUCGUUGCUUUUGCACUUGGGAUCAUGUUCUUGAUUCAAGAGAAUACCGGAUUUAGCGAUCAGAGCGAUGACUAUCGCGUUUCCUAUGACAAACGCAAGACUACGGUUUGCGAGAAUAACCGAUGCGACACUAGAAUCCUCAAACGUGACAACGAGCUCAUAAGAGAGCUUAGCUAAUGUAACCAAAACCACAACUAUCUCGAUCGCCCGGAAAAACAGAUCCAAGAUUAUCUCAACUCGAGACUUUUUCGCAAGCCUCUUCUUCAUCUUUCUUGAUUUAGGUUUCUGAGUACUAAACGAAUCCAUUGGCGUGGAGAUAACCGAAGAAGAAGGAAAAAAAACCUCAAAAAAAAAAAGAAAACAGAGGAUUUUGAGUUGCUGAUUCUUCAGAUCUCGAGACCAAUUGGGUUCUUAGUUUAGAUUCAUGAAAAGAAGCUGAGAAUUUAAAGAGAGAAUAAUAUGUUUUUCCCUUUAUUCUCUCUUUUUUCUUUCUUUCUUUUGCUUUGGUUUCUUGAACGGAUUUAGCUUUGCUAUGUGAGAGUAUAUAUACAGAGUCGUUGAGUGCGCUUCAUAUGGUUACUUUCGUUUUUUGAGCACUAAAAUGCAUGGUUUAUACAAAAAAAACAGUACUGCAGCAUCAACGUAACGCGCGGUUUGACUAAACUUUUUAUUACACUUCUUUAAAUGUGAAACGUGGUAGAUAUUUUCUCGUCACAGUAAAUUUCAGACAACUUCAUUAAAAAAAAAAUCUAAAUUUAAGCAAUAUAUUUAGGGGAGGUCCCAAAAACUACAUAAUUUCCUUUGAAAAUUUUCUGUAAUUAUUAUUUUUUAUUUUUGAAUCAAAACUGCAAUUAAAUUAUUUAUGUGAAUUUCCGUAAAUAAUGCUAUUUUAUGGAAAAUGUGGUAUUGUACUUGUACCAACUAAACAAGCUGUAGCAUGUUAACUUUGUUAUUUGACACAAUUAAAAAACAUGUCUUUAUAUAAGAUACUAUUGUUCAUGGAAAGUAUGCACAGCUCCUAUAGAUUUUGUUAGUUAAAGAGCCCUGUCUAAUAAGUGUCUAGUAUCAAAUAUCAUAAUUACUCUGUUUUUUAAAUAAAUAAUAAUACAUAACUACUCUGUGAAAUUAGAUUUAUAUGAGUAAAGUAGUUUUAGUGGUUAAAAAGUAAAAGUUUACUGAAAUUAAUUUUAAAAAAUCUGCAUGAUUGAUUAAGUUGAUCACUUAGGAGAAAAAUUCUAGAAGAAGAUUUAAGAAAUUGUUAAUUCCAAAAUUCCCUUUUUAUAACCAAAAUCAUGCUGCUUAUGAUAGAUUCGUGACUAUAUUCAUGUAAAUAGCUGAAAUAUAUGUGUUCUUUCUUUACCGAAAAAACUAUUAUCAGAUUUUUAAAAAACGUUUACUAGUAUCCCAAAACAUUAUAAAAAAAAAAAAAAAAAAAACUGUAGCAUUUAAAAUCCGUAUCGUUUCAUACAACAUAUUCUCAUGUUAAUAUGUAGUUUUGUCCAAGAAUAUAUUAUACGAGGUGUAAAAAAAGAAGAAGAAAAUCCUCUAAUUGGUCGAAAAAGGCAACAUCGCACUAUAUUCGUGACUUUGUCCAUUUGUAAUUAUUUACUCGACCGGUAAAGCAGCUGCCUUGAUAUCGACAUGUCCAUUUCAUAUCUCCUUUAAAUUUUUGUUAUAACAAAUUAAUAUGUGAAAGUAAUUUGUAGCACAUAUUUUUAUAAUAAACUUUAUCGUAAAGGUUUUUAGGACUUGAAUGAUCAGUACAAAGCUUUCCCACUGUGCCGAAACAAAUUAUUAUCGAGUAGAAAAUUAUGUUGUAUUUAAGUUUAAUUUUUGGAAGAUAUAUAAACUAGGACUUUUGUUUAUUAGGGUUGUAUGGGUUGCCUUAUAUUAUUUUUGUCUCAAUGGAUUAGGAUUAGCUUAUAUUAUUGUAAGAAAAUAUUAUUACUUUUUCUAAAGUACAUUUUUUGUAUUUCAUGAGAAAAUUAUAAAUUCAAUUCCUUCUUCACUAAGAGAUGGAAAAAUGGCUUGUAGGUCAACAAAUUUUUGUUAUUUCUUUAAUGUCUUGUCUCUUUCUAACCAAAAGCAUACAAGAGGUGGUCUCAUGAUUUCAAAUUUAAAUUUUCAUUAUUGGAUACACUUUGACAAAAGCCCCACUUCUUUUCUGUAAAAAGUUGAAAUGAAGAUUCAUUAUUGGUGUAUCAUAAUAUUAUUCAGAACAUCCACAAGCGAAACGUGUCUUCAUAUUUUGAUCGGAACUUUCGUAUUAAUGCCGCAGUAGUAAGAAACAAAAAUAAAAUUUGAUCACUUAGACAAAAAUGAGUUCGCUACAUACGCUUUAGUUAUAGUCAUCACUCAUCAUGUAUAUCUAAAAUAACAAUUUAAAAAAAUGUAAGAAUUUGACUCAAAAAAAUAAAAAGGGAACAAAGUCCGACCUGCCGGAAUCGAACCAGCGACCUAAAGAUUACAGCAACUACUACAGUCUUCCGCUCUACCAACUGAGCUAAGGUCGGAUAAUUAUUAGUAUACUCACACUAUAGAAAUAUAGCGCUUAUACUUUAAUAUGGGCCCCUAAUGGGCUUGAUUAGAAGGCAAAUUAUAUGCGUCAGCACAAUUUGAAAAGAACCAAAUUAGUCAAGUGAUGAUGGAGUUCGACCCUAAUUAGGACUCCCAUAAACAAAAAUCCAGCUAGCGGACUACAUACAUCGUUAAAAGACUAUUGGCUUGAUAGUUGAUACUGAACAACAAUAUGAAUUUUUAAUUUAUUUAUUUUUUGAUUAAAACUUAUAUAUUAAUAUUUAAAGACCCAUCCCUAAUAUGCUAUUUUAUGAUGCUGCUAACUUAUUUAAACUAACCAAUUUAGACUAAUGGAUGAACACCAAGAAUUUGGACUUGGACCACAAAACAAUGCAUAGUAUAUUUGGAUUCUUGAUUAAUCAAUAAAUUUGAAGUUACAUGCAUGAUGAUUAUUUAUUUUUCGUCACAUGCAUGAUGAUUAAUUAAGAUGGCAAACUCCACGUGAUUAAUUAAGAACUUGGUGCGUCAUAAAUUUUUUUAAAAAAUAUCAGGGGUGAUUCGACUAACAAAAUACGACGAACCAGACAUGUUUUGUUUUUUUUUACAUUUGGAAUUUCGAAGUUAACUUUUAAGAACCCACUUGAUAAAUCAUAUGUACAAAUUAAUGAGAAAUUGUAGAAUGCCAAUAAAAAUUGUGAUAUCCAAGAAAACUAAGCAAAAUAUAUUUAUUUUCUAAGCAAAACAUGUACACUUUUUGAGCAAAAUAUGUUGAAACAGCAGCCAAGCGUAGGACUUUGAUUUCAGCUGAUGGAGAAGGAAAUUCAAAGUCAUAUCCAAUUUAUUAUGAUUAUCACAUAAUUUUAGCUGUAGGAUUUUCAGAUAAAAUUUUACCGAAAUUCUCGGCAUAUAAAUUUUUUAGAAAUCUACAAUCUGUUGUAAAGAUUUUAUAAAUACUUAUCUGACCAAGUCACUAGCUCGUCAAGGAGAUUUCCUCUUCAUAUUCAUUUUCAAAGACAAGUGUUUUGUUUUCUCAUCGCCACCUAAGAUGUAGAUAAAACAACAUAUUUUAUUUAUUUUUUCUAAAACCGCGUACAACAUGACAUGCCUAGGGAGUUCUAACAAUGGGAAAUGAGCAUUCAUGGGGGAUGGUUGAAGACAUUCCUCCUCAUUCUCCUACAUGUGAUGAGAUGUGCAUCAAUGGUAUUUUGUAUUAUGGAGCUUUUAUUGACACAAAUUCUAACUGAACCUGCAAUCAUGAGUUUUGAUGUUAGGUCUGAAAAGUUUCUUCUUAUCAAGGGACUCGUCAAUGCCGGUGUUAACUUUCUUACUUCUUAAGAGCUAAGAAGAUCUUAUGAGGGGCAGCUAGCUGUACUUUUUUUUGAAAAUUGAGUUAUUUGUAUGUUUGCCUUGUGGGUUUUAGAAGAUGUUGUGAAUGAGGAAUGGUCAUACAUGAGUUUUGAUUUCUCUAGUUUAGCUGGGUUGACAAGAGACUUGGAACUUCAACUGUUUAGUGCAGCCAACGCAUGAAAAGUUGUUUACGCACCAUUUUGUGUGUAUGCAUUGACAUAUCAUGUUGUUUAUUAUGAUCCAAAAAAUGAAUUUACUUUUGAAAAUUUGAGAGAGAAAGAAUUAUAGAAAAACUUGUUCCUAAAAACUCUCAACCUAGAUUGAAUAAGUAUUAUUUUCCACUUUUAGCAAAACACACUUACAAAUUGAAACAUCUUAGGUGGAUAAGAAACCAAACAAAUAGUCACAAAAAUAUCAAACAAAUUUUUUAAGAAUAAAAAGACUACUUUUAUGUAAAUAGACGUUAGACUCAAUUAAAAUAAAGGGAAGACACAAAUUUAUAUGGAUUUCAACUUUCAAUAACGUUAAAUGUGAUAUGAUAUGCUCAUGGCAACUAGGAUCAGAAUUCCAGUUGUGGCAACCACACAAAUUUCUGAGCUUCGCAGAAUCCGAAUCGGUGUUUCACCUCGUAACUUAGUCUUGAACGCCUAGAAGCAAACCAAAUCAAUUUAAGUUGUAAUAUUAUAUUUAUUUUGUGUAGAUUGCUUUAAUCUGUGUAUCUUGUAAUCUUUAUAUUUCUGUCAAAAAAAAAAAAAUAGUACUAUUUAACCUUUUACUAAAAAAUGAAAAUGUGAUAUGGGAAAUUUCAAUUGUAAUAUUACUAUUGUAGAGAAAGAAGUCAGAAAUUCAAAAGAAAAACCAACGUAAUGCCCAACUUAAUAAACAUGGGCUUUGUUUUUGAAAGAGGCCCGUAUAGAUAUUGACCUCAAACUUAGGGAAACCCUAAUAUAAGAGCAAACCCUAGCAGCGCUAUCUCCCUCAGCCUCAUCUUUCACCCACUACUAUUCGCCGUUCGCUUUUCCCUCGCCGUCGAAAUCAACAUGGUAUCGUUUUCUAUCAUCCUUUUCUCUAACUAAUCACCUGUAUUCAUUUUCUUCUUUCUCUUGUCUGAAUCGUUACUUUCGUUGUCAUGGUUACAGGCGCCGAAGAAGGAUAAGGUUCCGCCACCGUCAUCGAAGCCGGCGAAAUCCGGAGGUGGAAAGCAGAAGAAGAAGGUUCGUUUCCGAAUAUAAUUUAGGUUUAAUUGGAAUGUGUAGAGAGAUCUGGUUUGUAGUUUCUGAAAUUGUGUUGUUUAAGUGAAGCUUGUAAAUGGAUUUGUUUUGCGAUUGAUGUUAGAUUAGUGUUGGAGUUUGCAUUGUCUUUGUACUUAAAUCGUUGCUCUCUUUGUUUGAUGGUAAACAAAAAAACAGAAGUGGAGCAAGGGAAAGCAAAAGGAGAAGGUGAACAACAUGGUGCUGUUUGAUCAAGCUACUUAUGACAAGCUUCUCACUGAAGCUCCCAAGUUCAAGCUCAUCACCCCUUCCAUUCUCUCUGACCGUAUGAGGGUAUAUUAUCAAUCUAUCAACUCCUUGUUUCCUCAAUUACUAAUCCAGAUCUAGAAAAUGAUAGUUAUAUCAUCUGGCAGUGAAUUGGUUUGAGCUUCUAUUGAAUCUAGUAGAGAAUAUUGUGAGGUGUUGAUAACUUGAUCUACUUUACCUAAAAGCUGUCUGAUGUUGUUGGUAUGCUUGUUCAGGAUAUGGUUCUUUACUUUCACAUAGGCUUACUGUGUGUCUAAGUAGAUACUCAUGUGUUAUAUAAUGUCAAUUUGGAGCUUGUCCUCAACGUCAAGCUUAUUUUAUUCUCUGUUUCUCCUCCCUGUUUUUUUUUUUUUUCUUUCCAUAACUUAACAGAUCCAAACUUGAUGUGUUUGAUGUUGUUGAAAAUUCAGAUCAAUGGGUCGCUAGCAAGGAGAGCGAUUAGGGAGCUAAUGGCCAAAGGUGUGAUCAGGAUGGUCGCUGCUCACUCGAGCCAGCAGAUCUACACUCGUGCCACCAACACCUAAGAUGUUUGGUUUCUUUAUCCACCUAAGAUGUUUGGCUUCUUUUUCUUAUCUCUUGUUGUUUGAUUCUUCAGGAACUUGUUAGAAUCUUUUGUUUCGUAUUCCGUUUUUUUGAGAUAUAUGGUUAUUUAAAACGCAUCAAGACUUCUAAAAUUGAGUCAAUCCUUUGAUAUAUCCGUUCUAGAAUUCGGUAAUGGAGUUGUUCCGGUUUAGUUAUGCAUCAAAUAAUUUAAACCGUAGUUCUUUAUUAUAGGGAUUUGAACUAAUUGAACGAAUUCAUUCAAAAUAUUAUUUGAAUGCUUGGAUUUAUUUUAUAAAGGAGGUUAUGUAAUGUAGACAUUUAGAUUGAUGGACUAAUAUGAAUGAAUAUGAUGAAAUGAAAAUAACGCCUACAGCCCAUUUGACAAGUUUCAGUGUCCCUUAAUAUUUUGUUAAUAAAUACAUUUACUUUUCUUAUUUUUGUCUUCUAACUAAAGAAUUUUAGUGUUUAUAAUUAUGCUAAUUGGUUUUGCACUUAAAGAGUAGGAUUUAUUCAAAUAAUUUCCCGACAUAAUCCAUGCGUGAUAUGUCCUUUCAAUUUCGUCUUCUCACCCGUUAAUCAAAUGGGCCCAGCUUUUCAAUCCAUUUGCUAAUCUGAUCAAAUUUUCCUAUAACGCUUACAAAUAACAAUUUGCAAAACAUCGUCGUCGAUCACAGGAAAACUUCCCUUUAGACAUUUAUUUCGCCAUCUCGGAAGCUUAGACGUUGGAAUAUAUAUCUAUUUUCUUAACUAACCGCUGAUUUUUGUAUUUUCAUUACAAAAAAAAAAACUAUUGUAAUGCCAUAUUCAAAAUAGUAUAUGCUUUGGUACAGUAGAAAUAAUAUCAACCAAUUAGGAUAAAUUUUCUUUCCAUUAUAUAAUUAGUCUCCCUAGCUUAGAGGCAAAUUUGUAGUUUGUGUUACGACGUGUACGGACUAUAUAGCACCUCAAAGUUGGGCCAAUGAGAUGAAAAUGGGCCUGGGUCCACAUGCAAGCAGACAAAAGAAAUCGACGUGUCCCAUAUGAGUCUCGUAGCAAGAGUAUGGGAGAAACCAGAGUCGUCCAUUUUUUGGGUUCAGUGACUGUCAUUGUCAGAUAUCUAUAGCUUUGUUGGUAAAAUUUCACAUGAAAAAAUUACAUAAUAAAUAGAGAAGAGAUUUUGGAAGAGAGAAAAUGCAAUUUAGCUCCUCACGUAUUAGCAAUUUAAGUUCUUGUCUUGGUCUUCCCUCGAUUUCAAACGACAUUAACCAAAACCAGAGAACUACGAAUUAUUCGGUGAGUUCUCUCAUUGAUACGAUCCUCUUCUAUAUAUCUCCGUGUUCUUCUAGCUUGAAAGCAUUUUAAAAGUUUUUACUUUUGGAGGUUUCACAUUCUCUCCCUGAACGAUUUUGCUUUAUUUUGUUCAGCUUCGGUUCUCGUCGAAUCUUCUGUUUCUCUGUCGAUUCAUUGAUCUGAAAAUCUAAAAAUGGAUUCAUUCUGAUUUAACUUUUAUCUUGUUCAAACUCAUUUAUGAUCCCAAAUUUGUUCGUUUCAUUCUUUAUAAAUUAGAAUCCUUUUUUGUUCUUGUGGCAAUUAUCUUCCUCCUUUUCUCUGUUUUGAAAGAUUUGUUACCUGCAGAAGUUAAUUCCAUUGAUUUCUUGAAGAUGCAGUAUCUCUUGCUACUUAAAAGAGUUAGAUUUUUUGUCUGAUACGUUAAAAUUAUGAGAGGCUCGUUCGUUCUUUAAUCUGUGUGGUCAAAGUUUCCUACUUUCCGAGAAUUUCUUUAUUGUUGUGUUGUUCACUUUGCAUUUAUAAUAGUUUUUACUAACGAGCUUUACGAUUCUGUUCUUGUCUCAUUCCAGCUAAAAAAAGAUGGAUUCUUGUUGCAACUUUAGCUUGGGGACAAAAACUGUCUUGGCCAAAGACAGUUUCAAGAAUGUAGAGAACAAAUUUUUGGGUGAGAAGAUCAAAGGAAGCGUCUUGAAGCCUUUUUCUUCAGAUUUGAGUUCCAAGAAGUUCAGAAAUCGAAAAUUGAGGCCCGGUGUUGCUUACGCUAUUGCUACCUCAAAGAAUGCUAAAGAGGCUUUGGUAAGUUCAAUGAUCAGGUUUAUCAAAACACUUGACCACUUAUCUGUGGAACUAGUCUUAGUGAUUGCCUUAAAUUGAUUGCUUUCAUGUUUUUUUUUUCCAGAAAAAUCAACCUUCCAUGUUUGAGAGAAGAAGAGCAGAUCCUAAAAAUGUGGCUGCAAUCAUUCUAGGAGGAGGCGAUGGAGCUAAACUCUUUCCUCUUACCAAGCGAGCAGCAACACCUGCUGUGAGUGACUAUCGAUUAUUGAUUUAAACGGUCUUCAAAAAGAAUUUGUUGUGUAAAGUGGAAGUCUUUAGUUUUCUGAUUCUUGAAACACAAUUAUCAAACAAUAUUUGCAGGUUCCUGUGGGUGGAUGCUAUAGGAUGAUCGAUAUCCCGAUGAGUAAUUGCAUUAACAGUUGCAUAAACAAGAUUUUCGUGCUGACUCAGUUUAACUCGGCUUCCCUCAAUCGCCAUUUGGCUCGUACUUAUUUUGGGAAUGGCAUAAACUUUGGAGAUGGUUUUGUUGAGGUAUAUAUAUAACAAUAUGGUUUCCUUUAUAAACUUCUCAGUUUGUUUCUGAAUCCGAUGAAAUAAAACAAAGGUAAAAUCUUAUCGAAACAGGUUCUGGCUGCUACACAAACUCCUGGUGAAGCCGGGAAAAAGUGGUUUCAAGGCACAGCUGAUGCUGUGAGAAAAUUUCUGUGGGUGUUUGAGGUAUGAAUAACUUAUGAUCAUUUUACUUGUUUUAUCAUACAUUAAGUCUGUUCCUUUAUGAUUCUUUAAAAUCGUCUGAAUCUACUGGUACUUUUUAUUAUAGGAUGCUAAGAACAGGAACAUUGAGAAUAUAAUCAUCUUGUCUGGAGAUCACCUAUAUAGAAUGAACUAUAUGGACUUUGUUCAGGUAAUAUAAUAGUAAACAUUCCUCUUACCAGUUUCAAAACUAGUCUUGCUAACUAACUCUAAACACUAUGCAUUGGACAGCACCAUGUCGAUAGUAAAGCCGAUAUUACUCUUUCGUGCGCGCCGGUUGAUGAGAGGUUAGUUUCUUUAGCACUAUGAUGUGACUUUUGUAUGAUUUUGGUUUUAAGAUGUUAACUUAAUCUUGAAAACCCCUUAUGUGAAUUUUCAGCCGUGCGUCGGAGUAUGGACUGGUCAAUAUUGAUCGAAGCGGGCGUGUAGUCCAUUUCUCUGAGAAACCAACUGGCAUCGAUCUGAAAUCAAUGGUACAGUUUUAUUUUCUAAAACUUAAAUACGUACGAAACAGAAUGGCAUUGAUCUGAAUAUUUUUCUGUUGUUUUGACGGUUAUAACUGAAUGCAGCAAACCGAUACUACUAUGCAUGGACUGUCUCAUCAAGAAGCAGCAAAAUCUCCAUACAUUGCGUCAAUGGGAGUUUAUUGUUUCAAAACCGAAGCUUUACUGAAGCUUCUGACAUGGCGGUAUCCGAGUUCCAAUGACUUUGGGUCUGAAAUUAUUCCUGCAGCUAUAAAAGAUCACAAUGUUCAAGUAAAAGAAAAAAAAAAACUCUUCUCUUUUUAAAAGAAUUUGUUGAGUUUUAUCACUUUAUCACAAACGAUUUAAUCAAAUUGUCUUCUUUAGGGAUACAUCUACAGAGACUAUUGGGAAGACAUCGGAACUAUUAAGAGUUUCUAUGAAGCUAAUAUUGCUCUUGUCGAGGAGGUAAGUUAUAAAGAGGAACUAUAAAGAGUUUCUAUGAAGCUAAUAUUUUUGGUUAAUACCCAAAAAUGUUUCUUACUUUUGAAUUUAUCUAUGAUUCAAUCUCUCAACUAUUGUUCUUUCGUUCUUGUUUUACGCAGCAUCCCAAGUUUGAGUUUUACGAUCAGAAUACACCUUUCUACACUUCUCCUCGGUUUCUACCACCCACCAAAACCGAGAAGUGCCGGGUAGAGAUCUUUCUCUUUACGUCGAAGUCCUCUUUGUUUGCCUGUUAAUCUCGAGUCUUGAUUCACUGAUUGGUAUGAUCCUCGUGAUGAUUUCGCAGAUUGUAAAUUCGGUAAUCUCACACGGAUGUUUCUUGGGAGAAUGCAGCAUCCAACGUUCCAUUAUUGGUGAAAGAUCACGUCUUGACUAUGGUGUUGAGCUUCAGGUGUAAAUCCUUGGUCAUAGAAUGACCUAUAGCUGUAUGGACAUUGUCAAAUGCAAAAGCUGAGUCUGGUAUUUGUUUGCUUCUUGCAGGAUACUCUUAUGUUAGGAGCGGAUAGUUACCAAACCGAAUCUGAGAUCGCGUCUCUGCUUGCGGAAGGAAAUGUUCCAAUUGGCAUUGGCCGAGAUACAAAGAUCAGGUAUCAAUCUGAAAUCACAAUAUCUUCUAUGAGUUUGAUUCUUAAACUCUGAUGCUACAUUUUAUUACAUUGAAGGAAAUGCAUCAUUGACAAGAAUGCAAAGAUCGGGAAAAACGUGGUGAUCAUGAACAAAGAUGUAUGCUUUCUUCUCCAUUCUUGAUUCUCUUUGCGUUUUCUGUCUUUAAGUCAGUAAAGAUCAAGACUUUUGAGAGAUUCAACAUCUUAACUGUAAUCGUUUUAUUUCUCAGGAUGUUAAGGAGGCUGAUAGGCCAGAGGAAGGAUUCUACAUUCGAUCUGGAAUCACUGUGGUUGUCGAAAAGGCCACCAUUAAAGACGGUACUGUGAUAUGAACAAAACGAUCUCAAGACCGCCGUGGUGAUUUUGAGGUGUUUGGCCGGAAGUUAAAAAGAGAGACCGUUGUGAUUUUGUCAUGUAAAUUAGAAGAGGAGAUAGAAGAAUCAUACAAUUUAGAAGCAAAAGCAAGUUUAAGCUUUACAAUAAGAGUGAUCAGCCGAUCACCUAUAGCUAUAAUAGUCACUCUCUUUUCAUAAUGAUCAAUAAAUAAAGCUAUCUAUCUUCUUCUGUUUUGGCAAUUUCUCAAUUAGGGGUUUAAUUUAACAUUUUCUAAAUAAUUGGGGUUAAACUGAAUUUAUUACUCCUCUCAGUGGUUUUGCGUAAAUAUUAAGGGGUUAAAUUGAUAAUGGAAAAAGGUUGGGGUCAGAUAAAAGAUCGAAUAGCUUUUAUAAGUGACGUAAAUAUAUAAAAACAAAACGCGGAAACAAUUAAAAAUAAAAUCAAAAAUAAAUCGCCGAUCAAUCCAUCUUCUUCUUCAUUUGGUAUUGCUGCUUACGUCGUCAGAUCUGCUCGUUUUUUCGCUCCAUUUUUGGGUCACCAUUACUCAGCUUCCGUAAGUGUUUUGAUUGUUUGUUUUCUCCGAAGUUUUGAAUCAAUGAUCUGAGAAAAUUUCCCUGUUUAGAUCGACGAUUCUCAAGGUUUUUGUUAUGUGCUUGUUGGAAUCGUUUUCGCCGAUUGAGUUUCUAGAUCUGAAGUUCAAUCGGUGAUUACGAUUGAGAUAGUUGCUGUUGUUACUAAGGUUUUGAUUCUCUGGUCAGAUACAUUAGACUGAUAAACAUUUUAUGGCGUUUUCUACAAAUUUGUUUGUUUCCUAGGUUAGUUUUCUUCUCCACUCUUAAGUAGUUUCGGUUGUGUUCAGAGGCGAUUCCGUACAUGAUUUUCUGGGAAAAUACAUCUGUGUUCAUCUCCCAGUGAAAAUACUUGGAUAAAAUCUUCUAGUGUCCAAUUACUAUUAUAUGGGAAGAGAUUAUGUGUAAUCUUGUAUGUUAGGAACAAAACCUGGGGUUGUUAAUUGUGUAGAUAAGGUGCAGAGAUAUGUGAAUUUGACCAACCAACUGUUUUGUUGAUCCUUUAGGUUUUAAAUAUCACAUUAGAUGGACGAAAGCGGAGGUGAUAGUGGUUCAGUGGCCACACCUGUUCAACAGCGAGCACAUGAGGCAUGGAGGAUUUACCAACACUAUCUUGACAAGACUACACCUCAUGCAAAUUACAGAUGGAUUGGAACUCUUGUCGUCGCUCUUAUCUACUGUUUGAGGGUUUACUAUAUUCAGGGUUUCUACAUCAUCGCCUAUGGUCUUGGAAUCUACCUUCUCAAUCUGCUUAUCGGGUUCUUGUCCCCUCUUGUUGAUCCUGAAGCUGGUGGGGUCUCUGAUGGGCCUUCUCUGCCUACUAGAGGUUCUGAUGAGUUCAAGCCUUUCAUUCGCCGUCUCCCCGAGUUCAAAUUCUGGUAAUGCCAUGUCGAAUUCUCUCAUGAGCCUUUAUACAUUUUUGUUGAUUUUUCCAAGUUUACCAGUUGCAAUGUCAAAUUCCUUUCAUGAUCUGUCGUGAGUUUUAAAUUCCUUCAUGAUCUUUUUUUUACUGCAUUGCUACCUUCCAUGGGGUCAUGAUUGAUGAUGAUUGUAGAUUCUGGGAAUGUUCUGAAUAUCUCUGAAUGCAUGUCUCCAUAGUCCAUUCUUUGUUCAUUUUAGUAUUUUUGAUGUUUGAGGCUUUCACAACUGAUCCUGGUAGAUGGAGAAUCACAGAUAUGUGAGCAGUAAGCUUUAUCUUCUCAUUACAUAUUGCAUUCUAUACAGUUACAACAUCAGAAUCCCUGUGGUGGUAUACUAUAAAAACGUAAGAUACCAUUGUCUUUUGGCUAAUGAAGGAUAGCUACUUACAUGUAUUGUUGUCUCAGGUACUCCAUGACAAAGGCUUUCUGCAUAGCUUUCCUCAUGACAUUCUUCUCGGUGUUUGACGUUCCUGUGUUUUGGCCAAUUCUGCUGUGCUAUUGGAUCGUUCUCUUUGUUCUCACCAUGAGACGCCAGAUCGCCCACAUGAUCAAGUACAAAUACAUCCCUUUCAGCUUCGGCAAACAGGUAAAACUUCUAACUGAUUGCGGUUUUGACUUGCAAGUUAAUUCAUCCAUUUGUCUACUCAUGCAUGUUACAUUUUGCAACUGAAUUUUUGAUAGCUACACCAACUUAUCCACAUUCAUAUCGGUCGAUACAAGAUACUUGAUGAAUAGUGUUAUAGAUUUUGAGAUUAAUUAGGCUACUUCCAAAAAGUCUUUGUUUUCUUGGUAAUAAUUGUUGGUUUGUGUGGCAGAAAUAUGGUGGACGGAGCAGCAGCGGCUCACGUGCGGAUUGAUCUGACCAAUUUGCUGACCAUUAGCUACUUUUUUUGUCUUUGCAAAAGAGAAAGAAAAAAUUGUUAAGAAUAUCAUUUUGGACCAUUUUUACAUUGACAAAACUAUGCAGAGCUAUAAGGAAGAAUUAUAGGCAGGAUAAAAAAGGAUGGAAACUAAACUUGAUUUAGCUCGGAAGAAAAUUGUUCCCUUUAGUUGUUUAUCCAUGAUUUGCAAUAUGAUCUAUAAUCUGUUGCUUUACUAAUUAGACCCGAAAGCAGACUACUACUUCGACUAUACCGGCUGCCGCUUCUAAACCCGUGAAUACUGGACCGUGUAGUAAACGAUGAUACAUGACACUAAUUGUGGACCAAUAUUAACCGGAUCUAAAGCCUUACAUUCAAAAUAAACCACCACUUCGGUUUGAUUAGCCGGAGAAACAGACAGGUUAAUAGCCACUUAUUUAAAACCCAAAAUACAAAUUGUGGAGAGUCAUUCUCGUUAAGCACUCAGCUUUAGACAUAUUGGUUGAGGAUUUCAUCAACAGUAGUGUAUUUGACAUCAGGGUAAAGCUCAGAAGCUUCUACCCCGAAAGAAGGUUCGAUUUCAAAGCUUGUGUGUCCUCCUUUCACGAAAACGCAGUGACAAAGGGAUAGCAUCACGUUGAGUGGGGGUGAUGAUUCUGCAGAAAAAAACACCAAACCCAUCAAUGGACAUAAUAACUAGACAAAAUUGAAAGAAGAAGAAGAAAGGUUUAGGAUCAAAACCUAUGAUCUGUUUGAGGAGUUGUUCUUCUGGAACGUAGAUUCUUUCAAGUGUUUUGCCAAUCUUGUUCUCCCAAAGCGAGACAAGAUCAUUGAAUGAGUAAGUGUUCAUUGGUGGCCUAAUAUAUAAGAUCUUGUUCAAAGUUCUUGGAUCAUCUACGGCAUUGAUUGUGUAAGUUCCGAUGUCUUCUUCCUUGUUGAACACAGCUGCAAAAUAUCACCACAAUAAGAAGGGAGUAACUGGACAAGAAACUGCGGAUGUUUCAGAUAAUUGAAACAUAGUAUCCUUUGAUCCAUGUUAUAAGGUUCUGACAAAGACCUUUCAGCUUCACUUUGGUGUUUUUUAAACCAAACAUAACCAUAUUACUCUAAGAGAAUUUGGAUCUCGAUUUGUAUUAUAAGAAAACUAAGAGUAGUCUUACCUUUGGGGUUCCCAUCACCUAAAACAAUGACCUUAUCCCGUGGAGCAGAAGUAGCACCAGGCUGAGCUAGAGUUGGGAGGAAGUAGCCAGCGAAGAAGUUGCAUGAGACAUAAGUGUAUGGGAUUCCUUCGGCCUCAAUUGUUCGCCGGAUUUUGGCCUUUGUAGCAUAGGCUGACUUGGCCGGUUCGACAGUGAAAACACGGUCUACGUCAUUUCCAAACUCGGAGGGAAAGAAUCUCUGGUAAGACAGGUGUGACGGUAGUGCAUCAGUUGGAGGGUCAAUUUGAUAUCAGAGUCUAUAAAAUUGUUACUCAACUCUAUGCUUAGUACAACAUCCAAGUUCAUUGAUUCUAAAAAGUAUCACAGAAGACACCAAAACCAAUGCAUUGCAAACUACAUUGUCAAUACAAGAAGUAACAAAAUUCAUUUGUAGGGGUUCCAAAUGUCAUAUGAGACUAAGAUUAAGACUAAAGUUGAUUACCUUAACAUUACCGGCUUCUUUAAUGGCGGAGAUGAUCUUGUAUUGAUGUCCCAAGAGGGAGUGCCCAACAGUAGAGAUGACCACAUCCGCUUGCUUUAUCGAAUUCACGAGACUCGUAUGGUCGUCAAGGUCUCCCUAUCCAGUUUUAGUAUUAUAAUCAGAAUCAGAAAAUCACUAAACCAUUGAAGUAAACAUUUGUACGGAGGAUCAAAGGAAAGAGAAGAGCGUAAAGAGAUAGAUACGUACGAGGAGAAACUGAACGCCGAGGUUCUUGAAAUUCUCGAUGGUGGAGGAUCGUGAAGGGCUUGUGAGCGUCGAAUUUCGAACGAGAACUAAGGUUGGGUGGCCAGAUCUUGCGCUCGCUUCCACUAUAUAUUUCCCGAUAUAACCCGUUCCUCCGAUGAACAGGAUUUUGCUUUUACUCGUCAUUUUUAGACUCGGAUUUUGCCGGAGAGAGAAAAAGUACGGUGGCUGGUGCCUGGCGGGUAACAACGGAAUGAAUCACAGAUGAAGAAGAGAACUCUUAUGAUCCCAAAAUUGCGGCUUUUUAAUUCUUCUCACCCGUUGCUUCCUUUUACAUAAAUAGUAUGAAACCACCACACUCUGAGAGAGAGAGAAGAGGCUUAUGGAGAAUCUGACAAUAAUACCCUCUGUAGUCAACACUUACGUUUACUUUUUAGUCAAAAGUUGAGACGUGGUUGGUGAAAUUGGCGGCUUUUUAUGACUCAACUUUCUUUGAGACGUGGGCUGUUAUCCUAAUAGACGUUGUAAUAAUGUUUUUAUUGGGCCAUCGUGAAAGGCCCAUAUUGUUAACAUUAUUAUAAUAAAACGAUGCGUUUUUCACCACUUGUUCUGCAAGGAUUAACAGCGUCUUCUCGUUGUAGCUGAUUACUAAAACUAAACAAGUCUAGAACCUCCUCUUCUCGUUUAGAAGAAGAAGAAGAAGGAGACGAAUUGAAAGAUCUCGUAGAGGUAAAAUUAAUCAUGAAGCUCUUAUUCUUGUUCUUCGAUCUCUUUCCUUGCUUGUAGUUAGGUGGAUACGGAUAAUGGAUGGUGAUGUUCAGUUCAGGAUUUGAAAGAAUUUUGUUUGGAAUCGUUGAGUUUUUUUUGUUUAGGGUUCUACUUUGACAAUUUGAUUGUGUACUUUAUUGUUUUGGAUGUGCUGCUGAACCUGAACAACAACACCCGACGAUUCAUUUCGGUUUUUGUUCUAGUUUGUAAACAAUUAUCUCUACUCUUUUAUAAUAUUGAAUGUGCAUUUUGGGAUUAUGAAUUUUCUGGUUGCUAAGUGUCGUUUACUUGGGUUGAAUUUCUUGUUCAAUUAUUUUGCAGGUACAAAUGGAGACCCAGACAAAUCAAAGUCCGAAACCGGCCAUGACUUCAUGUAGGAAGAAGGUAAAGGAUGAUGCCACUUUCUUUGAGGACGUGAAAGAUCACAUUGAUGACUUUAUACAUGCCUCAAUGGAUGAACACAAGUCCUGUUUCCAAAAGACCAUCAAAAAGGUUCUUUCUCAACUCUCUUAUUAUAGCUUAGAUUUUUUUUUUUUUUUUUUUUUUUUUUUUUUUUUUUUUUUUAGAUUUAGUCCUCGAAUAAACUCUCUUAGCUGGUAUUCAAUGUUUCAGACCCCAUGUAC